rnacentral:lncRNA from 1 species
GCGCCAUUUUGUCUCGGCAGCGGUGGCCGUAGCUCCAUCGCAUUUUAUGUUUCUGGCGAGAAGGGAACGGAGUUUUCAUCAGGUAGAUUGGUUUUUGUGCGGCCGUCCUCCACCGUUUCCUCCAGGACAGCACCUAGUCGUGGCCGGAGGAGUCUCAGAGCUGUCAGAAAGAAUAAGACUGAUUUUAUGGGAAAAUUAAGCAGAUGCUCCAGUUUGAGAAACCUGGAUCUGCGAUCUGUUUGUGGUACCAGCAUCAAGAUGAUUUAUGGUAAUAAGGUACUCAGUCUUUGCUUAAAAUAAAUUUUACGUUUAUCAAAGUAAAAUUUACCAGCUUUUUUUCCUAAAGAGGCUAGUCAUAUCUCAUCAGUGGUUACAAAGUAUCCUUACAAUUGAACCUACAUUUGUUAAUCCUGUUCAGUGUGUAUGAAAAUCACUUGGUGGCCGGGCAUGGUGGCUCACGCCUGUAAUCCCAGCACUUUGGGAGGCCAAGGCGGGCAGAUCACAAGGUCAGGAGUUCGAGACCAGCCUGGCUAAUAUAGUGAAACCCCAUUUCUACUAAAAAUGCAAACAUUAGUCAGGCAUGGUGGCAGGUGCCUGUAGUCCCAGCUACUUGGGAGGCUGAGGCAGGAGACUCUCUUCAACCCGUGAGGCAGAGGUUGCAGUGAGUCGAGAUCAUGUCACUGCACUUCAGCUUAAGCAACAGAGCGAGACUCCAUCUCAAAAAAAGAAAAGCACGUCACUCGAUGUUCUUUCUUUCAUAAGAGUUGAAGAACUAGGUAUAUCUGCUUAUAUUAUGGCAUCUAUAGUAGCUUAGCUGCUCAUAUUUGGGUCUCUUUAGAACCAGUGUCUUUCAAAGAGGGUUUUAACUAUGCUGGUGUAAAUUUUAAGAAUAGAUACAUUCAAAGAAGAAUUCAACAUUCAUGUGACAUUCAUACUUUGGAACUUUGGGAAAGUAUAGGAAUGACCAUAGAUUGGCUUAGGGAUAGUCAAUUUACCUGUCUGUAAAUGGAUCCAAUUUAGUAUUGUUCCUGUAUUUUUCUAAGACCAACACUUGUGUCAUUCACAGUUAAAUAUAUGAGUUGUGGCCAGGCCCGGUGGCUCAUGCCUGUAAUUUCAGCAUUUUAGGAGGCUGAGGUGAACAGAUUGCUCAAGUCCAGGAGUUCAAGACCAGCCUGGGCAACAUAGUGAGAUGCGGUCUCUACAAAAAAUUUUUAAAAGUUAGCCAAGCAUGGUGGUGCUUGCCUGUGGUCCCAGCUACUUGGGAGGCUGAGGUGGGAGGAUUGCUUGAGCCAUAUGCUCUAAUAUAUUUUAAAAUACAUAUUUUAAAUAUAUUUUGAGUGGUAAAAUGUAGCAGAUAAUGUUACAUAAAAGAAGCCAUGGUAAUGACAUGACAUUACUGGUUUUGAGUUGUUUGUGUAGUAGUUAGCUAUUAAUACUCAGGUAUAAUGAUUUGCUAUUUAAACUACACAAAUGCUCAAAGUCCAGCGAUACCCUGCACCCAAAUUCAGUGGCUAGAUUACCUUCUUAGGAAAGCACAACACUUCAAUGGAGUGACACUGGCAUGAGUCCACUAGAGGGUGUGUAUACAUGGCCUGAGUUCAAAUUGUUCCUGCUGUGAGUACUGCUUUUCAGCUUCAAGUUAUUCUUAUCGGCCACAGUACUGUUUAUUCCACUUAGUAACAGUUCUGUUUACAGAGCACUUUAACAUAAAUUCUGAUUUUUAACAUGAAAGCUGUCUGAUGUUGGUAUUUUUAUUUUAAUCUUUAGAGAUCAAGAAAUUUUUUUAGUGACAGAAUAGGGACUUUAUUGAUCCUUAAAUCCGCCCCUCACCACAAUAAAGGAAAAAAGCAAAAACAUCCUUGACUCAUGUAUUGAAGGGUCUUUUUUGAGAAGGGUCAGUUUUUGAAAAAUUAUCCAAAACUGAAACAUCUGUCAUCUGUAUCACAUCUAAAGAUUAACAGUGACUGAUGACCACCAGUUACUUCAUAUGAAAGUGGGAAACCGUAUCAGUUAUUUGUCCACUAAGUUGGUAGGUGCUUUUUGUACAAAAGCCCAGGAGAAUAUGAUCUGUAAAUUCUAGUUGAGUGAUGAAGAUGGGGCUUUGAAUUAAUCUACAGUCUUGGAAUUAAUUCUGCAGCAUUUUAACCAGGGAAUUUUUCAGUAGUCAUAAAUCUAUAUUUUAAUACUGAGUAAAUGUCCUCAUUUACCCCCACCAAUUUUGUAAAGCAGAUAUUAACCAAACUU